CCUACGGGAGGCAGCAGUGAGGAAUAUUGGUCAAUGGACGAGAGUCUGAACCAGCCAAGUAGCGUGAAGGAUGACUGCCCUAUGGGUUGUAAACUUCUUUUAUAUGGGAAUAAAAUGUUCCACGUGUGGGAUUUUGUAUGUAUCAUAUGAAUAAGGAUCGGCUAACUCCGUGCCAGCAGCCGCGGUAAUACGGAGGAUCCGAGCGUUAUCCGGAUUUAUUGGGUUUAAAGGGUGCGUAGGUGGAUUGUUAAGUCAGUUGUGAAAGUUUGCGGCUCAACCGUAGAAUUGCAGUGGAAACUGGCAGGCUUGAGUACAGUAGAGGUGGGCGGAAUUCGUGGUGUAGCGGUGAAAUGCUUAGAGAUCACGAAGAACUCCGAUUGCGAAGGCAGCUCACUGGACUGCAACUGACACUGAGGCUCGAAAGUGUGGGUAUCAAACAGGAUUAGAUACCCGGGUAGUC
rnacentral:rRNA from 1 species